UUCAGAGAUGAGAAUGUGCCUUCGGGAACCGUGAGACAGGUGCUGCAUGGCUGUCGUCAGCUCGUGUUGUGAAAUGUUGGGUUAAGUCCCGCAACGAGCGCAACCCUUAUCCUUUGUUGCCAGCGGUCCGGCCGGGAACUCAAAGGAGACUGCCAGUGAUAAACUGGAGGAAGGUGGGGAUGACGUCAAGUCAUCAUGGCCCUUACGACCAGGGCUACACACGUGCUACAAUGGCGCAUACAAAGAGAAGCGACCUCGCGAGAGCAAGCGGACCUCAUAAAGUGCGUCGUAGUCCGGAUUGGAGUCUGCAACUCGACUCCAUGAAGUCGGAAUCGCUAGUAAUCGUGGAUCAGAAUGCCACGGUGAAUACGUUCCCGGGCCUUGUACACACCGCCCGUCACACCAUGGGAGUGGGUUGCAAAAGAAGUAGGUAGCUUAACCUUCGGGAGGGCGCUUACCACUUUGUGAUUCAUGACUGGGGUGAAGUCGUAACAAGGUAACCGUAGGGGAACCUGCGGUUGGAUCACCUCCU
rnacentral:rRNA from 1 species